UACGAAGGGGGCUAGCGUUGCUCGGAAUCACUGGGCGUAAAGCGCACGUAGGCGGCUUUCUAAGUCAGGGGUGAAAUCCUGGAGCUCAACUCCAGAACUGCCUUUGAUACUGGAGAGCUUGAGUCCGGAAGAGGUGAGUGGAACUCCGAGUGUAGAGGUGAAAUUCGUAGAGAUCCGGAAGAACACCGGUGGCGAAGGCGGCCUGCUGGGCAGUUUAGCUGACACUGAGGCGCGACAGCGUGGGGAGCAACAGGAU
rnacentral:rRNA from 1 species